CUAAUGUAAAAGAAACUGUGAUCUUGGAGACAGAAGUCUGUUCGUGACUAGCAGUUCUAAUGAAAGGAUCAACCUUAAUGAACUAAUCUCACCAAAGAAAGGAGGGGCAGGAUUUCUUAUUCUGUCCAGUGAGCCAGAGGAGAGGUGACACCACGGUCCUUGCUGUUGGCAUCUGGAGUUGGAAGCAGUGCUUCUGUGGGACUAAACCUUCAACCUGAGAAUCUGAUGCUGUCUCUAGGACAAAAAUCUAUGGGAGGCUAGAUUUUCUUCA